rnacentral:lncRNA from 1 species
UACAUGUCAAUAUACUAUUGUAAUUGAUUUCAAAAGCAUCUUCCAGAACAACAGCCAUUGGCUUGUUGGUAUUAAGCAAAGAAGAGAUAGAUUACAAACAUAUAUCAAUCUCUACUAUAUAUGAUCAAUGUUAAAUAAUACAGAUAAACAAGAUUGAGAAGUACUUCUAAUUAAUGGACAACAUACACUUGAUUUGUACAAAAUGACUGGAGUGAGUCUGCAGUGAGAGCAUUAGUCAACCAUUGUGUAAGAGCACAAUAUAAGAGUAUCACGAGAACACCAGUUGGCCAGAGCAUACAGAUGAUAAAGUGGCUGUAGUGGAAACUUUCCCUGUAUUGACAGGAAAAACUCAAUGAAGCAUAGCACAAUCAGAAAGCACAUUCAUGUGCCUUUUAACAUAAAUAAAUAUUCCUAAGAUUUCAACAAAAAUAGAAGAACAUGGUGAUAUAGGAGGAAUUUUAGCCUUUCCUUGUUAAUUCACCCAGACUACAAUGCAUAAUGAGACCAAACACAAUGCUUUCUCUACAAAGGUGGAUACAAAAUUCCUCUGGGUGUGCUCUUUCUUUUUCAGAAACGAUAUCCUCUUUGGAUACGGAGAAAUAGAAUGCUUAAUCAAACUGCAGAAAAUAUUUGCUAGUUUCUAGUUAUUUCAUUGACUGACAACCACAUCACAAUUUAAAAGAUCACACUUGAACCACAAUAUCUAUAGAUAUUAGUAAAUAAAAACUAACCGAAAACUGGAAUCGUUUGCGUAGGCAUUGACGAACAAUUAUUUUUCUCUCGUCGGCGUCUAUAGCUCGAGUAGCUUAGGGGAGUCUGUGACUGAUAUGAAGUAGAUGGUGUAGAUGAAUAUUUUGCAAAGUUGAAAAUUUAUAUAAAAAUAUGGGAAGAUGAAUUACGGAAGACAGAUUUGCAGCUUUCCGAAUCUAUUGACUCCCAAAACUUAACUUACCCCCAACGCAUUGAUUCAUGAAUCUGUAAGAGAUGUUGAUGAACGAUACAACCAUAGAUGAAGCAGCAGGAUAGGAGCUCUAACGACGGAUCAAUCACUGAAACUGAUGAGAUCGAUAGGGUUUACAAUGGCGUCAACUGUUACAACUUUAUCUUCGUCAUCGAAAAAAUUACAGAAAUUAACAUAUUAUAUAGGAAGGAUGAAAUCGAC